GAGGCCUACCAUGGUGGUAACGGGUAACGGGGUGUUAGGGCACGACACCGGAGAGGGAGCCUGAGAAACGGCUACCACAUCCAAGGAUGGCAGCAGGCGCGCAAAUUACCCAAUCCCGACACGGGGAGGUAGUGACAAUAAAUAACAAUACGGGGUUCUUUCGGAUCUCGUAAUUGGAAUGAGUACAAUUUAAAUCUCUUAACGAGGAACAAUUGGAGGGCAAGUCUGGUGCCAGCAGCCGCGGUAAUUCCAGCUCCAAUAGCGUAUAUUAAAGUUGUUGCAGUUAAAAAGCUCGUAGUUGAAUUUCGGGGUUAGUAGGUUGGUCAUGCCUCUGGUAUGUACUGAUCUCACUGAUUCCUCCUUCCUGAUGAACCGUAAUGCCAUUAAUUUGGUGUUGCGGGGAAUUUGGACUGUUACUUUGAAAAAAUUAGAGUGUUUAAAGCAAGCUAACGCUUGAAUACAUUAGCAUGGAAUAAUGAAAUAGGACGUUCGAUCCUAUUUUGUUGGUUUCUAGGAUUGACGUAAUGAUUAAUAGGGAUAGUUGGGGGCAUUAGUAUUCAAUUGUCAGAGGUGAAAUUCUUGGAUUUAUUGAAGACUAACUACUGCGAAAGCAUUUGCCAAGGAUGUUUUCAUUAAUCAAGAACGAAAGUUAGGGGAUCGAAGACGAUCAGAUACCGUCGUAGUCUUAACCAUAAACUAUGCCGACUAGGGAUCGGA
rnacentral:rRNA from 1 species